rnacentral:rRNA from 1 species
AUGUCUGGAUCGACAUGCAGGGAGCGCGACGCCUCCAUCACCUGCCAUGUCCACCACGCCCUCCGCCACUACAACGCCAGCAACCCGGGCUCAGAGUUCGUCCUCGUCAAGCCUCUCAUGGCCGCGUACGUGGGCUUCCAAAGCCACAUCUGGGUCCACGUCGGCUUCGUGGCUCGCAGGAAGAAAAUCGCCAGCAGCAAACGGAGGCGCAACCAGGCCAACGAGGCGGACAAGACCUUCUUCGCCGAGCUGCGCUACAGCCACCACCUCUCCGGCGCGCCGGCCGUUGAAACAUGCGCCAUCAUCGAGAAGUCGUCCCGCAAAAGUCACUUGAAGACCGCGUGUGCAUUUUGCCCCGAGAGCUUUCAGAUUUUGCACCCCCUUGACGGCAGCUUCCUGUGCGGAAAGAAGAGCCAGACAAAUGAAGGACAGGGUUUCACACAUUUCACGAACCUGCUUGAGUUGCCGUUCACAUGCCCCACGGCUAAUGGGGAAGGCAAGGAGGAUGCGGCAGCCCCACAGGAGGAGGAGCAUAGUAGCACCCUGAGCUGGGCUGCUCUCCCCUUUCAUUUUAUCGGUAAUCUUAUUACAAGGGUUUUGCCAGCCUUAAUUCGAUGCUAG